rnacentral:ncRNA from 2 species
AUAUUAAAGGGAAACGAUGAGAUAUGCACUUUAUAUGGGCAUCUAGUGUGUAUUGAGUUAACGAUGCAACCGGCCUUAUGAUUA